GUGAAUCAUCGAAUCUUUGAACGCACAUUGCGCCCGCCAGUACUCUGGCGGGCAUGCCUGUUCGAGCGUCAUUUCAACCCUCAAACCCCCGGGUUUGGUGUUGGAGAUCGGCAUGAGUCCUUCGGGGCGACGCCGUCUCCCAAAUAUAGUGGCGGUCUCGCUGUAGCUUCCUAUGCGUAGUAGCACACCUCGCACUGGAAAACAGUUUGGCCACGCCGUUAAACCCCCAACUUUCUGAAGUUUGACCUCGAAUCAGGUAGGAUUACCCGCUGAACUUAAGCAUAUCAAUAAGCGGAGGA
rnacentral:misc_RNA from 1 species